rnacentral:tRNA from 1 species
UGUAGUGUAGAGUAACGGUAACUCGCGAGGCUCAUGACCUCGAACUUGGGGCGUUCGAAUCCCCCCACUGCAC